AACUGAGUAGUGUAUAAACAUAUUAAAUUGCAAAUUUAAAGAAGCUUUAGGUCUCGGUAG
rnacentral:tRNA from 1 species